CUGCGCUGUACGAUAGAAGCGCCCCUGACCACUCGUUUUGUGGGUCUCAACACCGCCCAACGCCCUCCUAUCCUUAUCUCCCCCUCGCAUCUCUCUUUCUCCUUUCCUUUUACAUCACCAGCCAUGGGAACGGCAGCUCUUGCUCAUCUCCUUCCUCUCUCUACCCCGAGCUGCAGAGGGCUAUUGAGAGCAUCCGCGCGACACCCCUUCAGAGUUGCUGCAAAGGGGAGAGUUGCGUAGCCAGAAUGCACUCGUCACCAUGGGCCGCCUAGGUGAGCUCGUCGCCAUGGUGCGCACGCCGUCGCCGUAGAAUGCUGCGACCGCACCUGCCGCUGCCCUCUUUUUCUGGGCAGGGGACGGUGGGCGGGGGGUGCUGCAAGCAGCGGAGCCCCGUGUUUUUGGGGAGGCAACGAUGGGCUACAAGUGAGCGGCCACCACCAACCACCGAUGCGAUUCGCCGGCGGAGAUGCUACUACCCCAGCGCGACGGAGCUGCAACCAUAGUUCGGCGGAGCUACAACCAUAGGCCGAUGGAGUUGCAACUAGCAAAACAAAUGCUGGAACCGGCGACAGCCGUGUUGCGAUGGUCACGGCGACGAUCCAUCAUUGCUGGAACCAGCAUUUUUUUUCCUGGAAGCAGUGAAUUUUUUUGCUACGACCCCAGCAACGAUGAUUCAUAGUUUUGCUCGAAGCUCAUGCCCGUGGUGAGCUUCGACGGCGAGCGAGGGGGCCUACCGCCACCGGAGCUGCAACCGCAGGCCAUAGCUAUUGCAUGUGUAGAGUCAAUGACAAGUGCACGCGGUGACCAGCGGCGAGUGCAGCGACCGGCGAGGGCUGACCGGCGACGAGGACGGCCGGCAAGGUGCGGCAACUGGAGAGCGUCUAACCCGGCAAGGUGAAGGGAGCGAUGAGAGGCAGGGGGGAUUCUUUCCGUACGCGCUCGUGAGGAAGACAACUGCAUCGAUCGUACGGCUACAAACGACAUAAUCAAACGGCUUAAAGUUGACCGGCCGCACUAUUAGGCCGGUGCGCCGGCGCCUAUUAGUGGCCUUUUAGUUAUCGUUGAUUUAGUAACUUUAAACUAAGGCAGUGCUAGGCGCCGGCGCGCCGACCCAAAUUUGGGCCGGUUGCAUGCCAGCCACCCGAUUCAAUAGGGUCAACGCCCGUGCACACCGCACGAUCUGUUUU